rnacentral:rRNA from 1 species
GACGAACGCUGGCGGCGUGCUUAACACAUGCAAGUCGAACGGAAAGGCCCUGCUUUUGUGGGGUGCUCGAGUGGCGAACGGGUGAGUAACACGUGAGUAACCUGCCCUUGACUUUGGGAUAACUUCAGGAAACUGGGGCUAAUACCGGAUAGGAGCUCCUGCUGCAUGGUGGGGGUUGGAAAGUUUCGGCGGUUGGGGAUGGACUCGCGGCUUAUCAGCUUGUUGGUGGGGUAGUGGCUUACCAAGGCUUUGACGGGUAGCCGGCCUGAGAGGGUGACCGGCCACAUUGGGACUGAGAUACGGCCCAGACUCCUACGGGAGGCAGCAGUGGGGAAUAUUGCACAAUGGGCGGAAGCCUGAUGCAGCAACGCCGCGUGCGAGAUGACGGCCUUCGGGUUGUAAACCGCUUUCGCCUGUGACGAAGCGUGAGUGACGGUAAUGGGUAAAGAAGCACCGGCUAACUACGUGCCAGCAGCCGCGGUGAUACGUAGGGUGCGAGCGUUGUCCGGAUUUAUUGGGCGUAAAGGGCUCGUAGGUGGUUGAUCGCGUCGGAAGUGUAAUCUUGGGGCUUAACCCUGAGCGUGCUUUCGAUACGGGUUGACUUGAGGAAGGUAGGGGAGAAUGGAAUUCCUGGUGGAGCGGUGGAAUGCGCAGAUAUCAGGAGGAACACCAGUGGCGAAGGCGGUUCUCUGGGCCUUUCCUGACGCUGAGGAGCGAAAGCGUGGGGAGCGAACAGGCUUAGAUACCCUGGUAGUCCACGCUGUAAACGGUGGGUACUAGGUGUGGGGUCCAUUCCACGGGUUCCGUGCCGUAGCUAACGCUUUAAGUACCCCGCCUGGGGAGUACGGCCGCAAGGCUAAAACUCAAAGGAAUUGACGGGGCCCCGCACAAGCGGCGGAGCAUGCGGAUUAAUUCGAUGCAACGCGUAGAACCUUACCUGGGUUUGACAUGGAUCGGGAGUGCUCAGAGAUGGGUGUGCCUCUUUUGGGGUCGGUUCACAGGUGGUGCAUGGCUGUCGUCAGCUCGUGUCGUGAGAUGUUGGGUUAAGUCCCGCAACGAGCGCAACCCUUGUUCACUGUUGCCAGCACGUUAUGGUGGGGACUCAGUGGAGACCGCCGGGGUCAACUCGGAGGAAGGUGGGGAUGACGUCAAGUCAUCAUGCCCCUUAUGUCCAGGGCUUCACGCAUGCCACAAUGGCUGGUACAGAGAGUGGCGAGCCUGUGAGGGUGAGCGAAUCUCGGAAAGCCGGUCUCAGUUCGGAUUGGGGUCUGCAACUCGACCUCAUGAAGUCGGAGUCGCUAGUAAUCGCAGAUCAGCAACGCUGCGGUGAAUACGUUCCCGGG